rnacentral:rRNA from 1 species
CAAGACCUGCGCUUUUGGAGCGGCCGAUGCCUGAUUAGCUUGUUGGUAAGGUAAAAGCUUACCAAGGCUUCGAUCAGUAGCUGGUCUGAGAGGACGACCAGCCACACUGGGACUGAGACACGGCCCAGACUCCUACGGGAGGCAGCAGUGGGGAAUUUUGGACAAUGGGGGCAACCCUGAUCCAGCCAUGCCGCGUGAGUGAAGAAGGCCUUCGGGUUGUAAAGCUCUUUCAGCCGGAACGAAACGGUUACGGAUAACACCCGUGACUACUGACGGUACCGGAAGAAGAAGCACCGGCUAACUACGUGCCAGCAGCCGCGGUAAUACGUAGGGUGCGAGCGUUAAUCGGAAUUACUGGGCGUAAAGCGUGCGCAGGUGGUUUUGUAAGUCAGAUGUGAAAGCCCCGGGCUCAACCUGGGAACU